rnacentral:lncRNA from 1 species
GAAGAGAAGAUAGGACAGUUAAUAUCUUUGGUAAAUUAAGAAAAUAAUGAGUAUGAGAGGGAUAGAGAGUACAAAAAUUACUCAGAUGCAGCAAAAAGUAUGAGAUUUACCAGAGGGAAAAUCUUGAGUUAGGAGACAGUGUUACUUCCAGGAUCUGAGCUAUGGAAGCAGUUACCAGCUAAUUCGCCACAUGUGCCUGUGACAUAUCUUUGAGUGUUUUGCAGUUGUGCCACAUGAUUUGAGUGCUUUUCUGGUCUGGGAAGCUUUAAUUAUUUGUUCUGCAUUACCAGUA